rnacentral:rRNA from 1 species
CCUACGGGAGGCAGCAGUGAGGAAUAUUGGUCAAUGGACGAGAGUCUGAACCAGCCAAGUAGCGUGAAGGAUGACUGCCCUAUGGGUUGUAAACUUCUUUUAUAUGGGAAUAAAAUGUUCCACGUGUGGGAUUUUGUAUGUACCAUAUGAAUAAGGAUCGGCUAACUCCGUGCCAGCAGCCGCGGUAAUACGGAGGAUCCGAGCGUUAUCCGGAUUUAUUGGGUUUAACGGGAGCGUAGGUGGAUUGUUAAGUCAGUUGUGAAAGUUUGCGGCUCAACCGUAAAAUUGCAGUUGAAACUGGCAGUCUUGAGUACAGUAGAGGUGGGCGGAAUUCGUGGUGUAGCGGUGAAAUGCUUAGAGAUCACGAAGAACUCCGAUUGCGAAGGCAGUUCACUGGACUGCAACUGACACUGAGGCUCGAAAGUGUGGGUAUCAAACAGGAGUAGAUACCCUUGUAGUC